AAUUAUCAAGGAGCAUUAGAAAAGCUUUCUAUUGAUUGAAAGAGGGAAUAUCAUAGGACUGACUUUUAAGGUGGAUGCCUAGAUUUAUUAGGAAGAAUAUUGAGAAAAGAAACAUGAUUGAAUUUGCAGUGAUUUGGAGAAGAGAAUUAUGUUGUCUUGUUGAGAUUUGUUGUAUUAUUUAUUUUGAAGUUUAUGAAUUUAUAAUAUUAUAAUGAAUUUUUAUUGAGAAUUAUUUAGUCUUAUGGGGAUUUGAUGUAUUAUUUACAUUUCAAUUGUAUGAAUAAAUGUUGUAUGUAUAUGAAUUUUUAUUAUGAUAAAUAUAAUUUUUUUUACAA